GGGUUGUGAGGUUAAGCGAACAAGCGUACACGGUGGAUGCCCUGGCAGUCAGAGGCGAUGAAGGACGUGCUAAUCUGCGAAAAGCGCCGGUAAGGUGAUAUGAACCGUUAUAACCGGCGAUGUCCGAAUGGGGAAACCCGGUGCACUUCGGUGCAUCAUCGUUAGCUGAAUACAUAGGCUAACGAGGCGAACCGGGGGAACUGAAACAUCUAAGUACCCCGAGGAAAAGAAAUCAACCGAGAUUCCCCCAGUAGCGGCGAGCGAACGGGGAACAGCCCAGAGCCUGAAUCAGCUUGUGUGUCAGUGGAACGGUCUGGAAAGGCCGGCGAUACAGGGUGACAGCCCCGUACACGAAGGCACACAGGCUGUGAGCUCGAUGAGUAGGGCGGGACACGUGAUAUCCUGUCUGAAGAUGGGGGGACCAUCCUCCAAGGCUAAAUACUCCUGACUGACCGAUAGUGAACCAGUACCGUGAGGGAAAGGCGAAAAGAACCCCGGCGAGGGGAGUGAAACAGAACCUGAAACCGUGUACGUACAAGCAGUGGGAGCCUUCGUAAGAGGGUGACUGCGUACCUUUUGUAUAAUGGGUCAGCGACUUAUAUUCUGUAGCAAGGUUAACCGUAUAGGGGAGCCGAAGGGAAACCGAGUCUUAAUUGGGCGUUAAGUUGCAGGGUAUAGACCCGAAACCCGGUGAUCUAGCCAUGGGCAGGUUGAAGGUUGGGUAACACUAACUGGAGGACCGAACCGACUAAUGUUGAAAAAUUAGCGGAUGACCUGUGGCUGGGGGUGAAAGGCCAAUCAAACCGGGAGAUAGCUGGUUCUCCCCGAAAGCUAUUUAGGUAGCGCCUCGUGAACUCAUCUCCGGGGGUAGAGCACUGUUUCGGCUAGGGGGCCAUCCCGGCUUACCAACCCGAUGCAAACUGCGAAUACCGGAGAAUGUUAUCACGGGAGACACACGGCGGGUGCUAACGUCCGUCGUGAAGAGGGAAACAACCCAGACCGCCAGCUAAGGUCCCAAAGUCAUGGUUAAGUGGGAAACGAUGUGGGAAGGCCCAGACAGCCAGGAUGUUGGCUUAGAAGCAGCCAUCAUUUAAAGAAAGCGUAAUAGCUCACUGGUCGAGUCGGCCUGCGCGGAAGAUGUAACGGGGCUAAACCAUGCACCGAAGCUGCGGCAGCGACGCUUAUGCGUUGUUGGGUAGGGGAGCGUUCUGUAAGCCUGCGAAGGUGUGCUGUGAGGCAUGCUGGAGGUAUCAGAAGUGCGAAUGCUGACAUAAGUAACGAUAAAGCGGGUGAAAAGCCCGCUCGCCGGAAGACCAAGGGUUCCUGUCCAACGUUAAUCGGGGCAGGGUGAGUCGACCCCUAAGGCGAGGCCGAAAGGCGUAGUCGAUGGGAAACAGGUUAAUAUUCCUGUACUUGGUGUUACUGCGAAGGGGGGACGGAGAAGGCUAUGUCGGCCGGGCGACGGUUGUCCCGGUUUAAGCGUGUAGGUUGACUUUCCAGGCAAAUCCGGAAAGUUAAGGCUGAGGCGUGAUGACGAGGCACCACGGUGCUGAAGUGACAAAUGCCCUGCUUCCAGGAAAAGCCUCUAAGCAUCAGGUAACAUCAAAUCGUACCCCAAACCGACACAGGUGGUCAGGUAGAGAAUACCAAGGCGCUUGAGAGAACUCGGGUGAAGGAACUAGGCAAAAUGGUGCCGUAACUUCGGGAGAAGGCACGCUGACAUGUAGGUGAAGCCCCUGCGGGUGGAGCUGAAGUCAGUCGAAGAUACCAGCUGGCUGCAACUGUUUAUUAAAAACACAGCACUGUGCAAACACGAAAGUGGACGUAUACGGUGUGACGCCUGCCCGGUGCCGGAAGGUUAAUUGAUGGGGUUAUCGCAAGAGAAGCUCCUGAUCGAAGCCCCGGUAAACGGCGGCCGUAACUAUAACGGUCCUAAGGUAGCGAAAUUCCUUGUCGGGUAAGUUCCGACCUGCACGAAUGGCGUAAUGAUGGCCAGGCUGUCUCCACCCGAGACUCAGUGAAAUUGAACUCGCUGUGAAGAUGCAGUGUACCCGCGGCAAGACGGAAAGACCCCGUGAACCUUUACUACAGCUUGACACUGAACAUUGAGCCUUGAUGUGUAGGAUAGGUGGGAGGCUUUGAAGCGUGGACGCCAGUCUGCGUGGAGCCGACCUUGAAAUACCACCCUUUAAUGUUUGAUGUUCUAACCUGGCGCCAUAAUCUGGCGUGGGGACAGUGUCUGGUGGGUAGUUUGACUGGGGCGGUCUCCUCCCAAAGUGUAACGGAGGAGCACGAAGGUCAGCUAAUCCUGGUCGGACAUCAGGAGGUUAGUGCAAUGGCAUAAGCUGGCUUGACUGCGAGAGUGACGGCUCGAGCAGGUGCGAAAGCAGGUCAUAGUGAUCCGGUGGUUCUGUAUGGAAGGGCCAUCGCUCAACGGAUAAAAGGUACUCCGGGGAUAACAGGCUGAUACCGCCCAAGAGUUCAUAUCGACGGCGGUGUUUGGCACCUCGAUGUCGGCUCAUCACAUCCUGGGGCUGAAGUAGGUCCCAAGGGUAUGGCUGUUCGCCAUUUAAAGUGGUACGCGAGCUGGGUUUAGAACGUCGUGAGACAGUUCGGUCCCUAUCUGCCGUGGGCGCUGGAGAAUUGAGGGGGCUGCUCCCAGUACGAGAGGACCGGAGUGGACGCAUCACUGGUGUUCGGGUUGUCAUGCCAAUGGCACUGCCCGGUAGCUAAAUGCGGAAGAGAUAAGUGCUGAAAGCAUCUAAGCACGAAACUUGCCCCGAGAUGAGUUCUCCCUGAGACUAUAAGUCUCCUGAAGGAACGUUGAAGACGACGACGUUGAUAGGCCGGGUGUGUAAGCGCAGCGAUGCGUUGAGCUAACCGGUACUAAUGAACCGUGAGGCUUAACCUUACAACGCCAAAGAAGU
rnacentral:rRNA from 1 species